rnacentral:rRNA from 1 species
UACGGAGGGUGCAAGCGUUAUCCGGAUUCACUGGGUUUAAAGGGUGCGUAGGAGGGCAGGUAAGUCAGUGGUGAAAUCUCCAAGCUUAACUUGGAAACUGCCGUUGAUACUAUCUGUCUUGAAUACCGUGGAGGUGAGCGGAAUAUGUCAUGUAGCGGUGAAAUGCUUAGAUAUGACAUAGAACACCAAUUGCGAAGGCAGCUCGCUACACGAAUAUCGACUCUGAGGCACGAAAGCGUGGGGAUCAAACAGG